GCAUGUGCACCAAAAGUAGCUGAAGCUGCCAGCAUGAUCUGAUCACAGGAUAGCAAUCAGAUCAUGCUAGUAGUUCCAUCUGCUGUUGGGGGCACAAUAAAUCCCUGCA
rnacentral:miRNA from 15 species